CAGCCGCCGCGGUAAUACGAAGGGUGCAAGCGUUACUCGGAAUUACUGGGCGUAAAGCGUGCGUAGGUGGUGGUUUAAGUCCGUUGUGAAAGCCCUGGGCUCAACCUGGGAAUUGCAGUGGAUACUGGGUCACUAGAGUGUGGUAGAGGAUAGUGGAAUUUCCGGUGUAGCAGUGAAAUGCGUAGAGAUCGGAAGGAACAUCUGUGGCGAAGGCGACUAUCUGGGCCAACACUGACACUGAGGCACGAAAGCGUGGGGAGCAAACAGGAUUAGAUACCCCGUAGUCCCUGUCUCUUAUACC
rnacentral:rRNA from 1 species